CCUACGGGUGGCAGCAGUAGGGAAUCUUUCACAAUGGGCGAAAGCCUGAUGGAGCAACGCCGCGUGCAGGAUGAAGGCCUUCGGGUUGUAAACUGCUUUUAUAAGCGAGAAAUAUGAUGGUAACUUAUGAAUAAGGAUCGGCUAACUACGUGCCAGCAGCCGCGGUCAUACGUAGGAUCCGAGCAUUAUCCGGAGUGACUGGGUGUAAAGAGUUGCGUAGGUGGCAUAAUAAGUAGCUAGGGAAAUCUGGUGGCUCAACCAUUCAGACUAUUAGCUAAACUGUUAAGCUCGAGACCGUUAGGGGUAACUGGAAUUUCUAGUGUAGGAGUGAAAUGCGUAGAUAUUAGAAGGAACACCAGUAGCGUAGGCAGGUUACUGGGACGGUUCUGACACUAAGGCACGAAAGCGUAGGGAGCAAACGGGAUUAGAUACCCGUGUAGUC
rnacentral:rRNA from 1 species